CUUCGGGUUCAGUUUUGGGUCCA
rnacentral:siRNA from 1 species